ensembl:snRNA U1 U1 spliceosomal RNA
AUAUUUGUUUUAAAAGAGAUCCUCCUCACUGUGAUCACGCAGGUAGUUUUUCCAUGGCGAGGCUUUUCCAUUGCACUACGGAAGUGUUGACCCCUGCAAUUUCCCCAAAAGUGGGAAAGUCAACUGCAUAAUUUGUGGUGGUGGUGGACUGCGUUCGCACUCUCCCCUU